rnacentral:rRNA from 1 species
AUUGAACGCUGGCGGCAUGCCUUACACAUGCAAGUCGAACGGCAGCGGACCUUCGGGUGCCGGCGAGUGGCGAACGGGUGAGUAAUAUAUCGGAACGUACCUUUCAGUGGGGGAUAACGUAGCGAAAGUUACGCUAAUACCGCAUAUUCUGUGAGCAGGAAAGCAGGGGAUCGCAAGACCUUGCGCUGAUUGAGCGGCCGAUAUCAGAUUAGCUAGUUGGUGAGGUAAAGGCUCACCAAGGCGACGAUCUGUAGCGGGUCUGAGAGGAUGAUCCGCCACACUGGUAACUGAGACACGGUCCAGACUCCUACGGGAGGCAGCAGUGGGGAAUUUUGGACAAUGGGCGCAAGCCUGAUCCAGCCAUGCCGCGUGAGUGAAGAAGGCCU